rnacentral:tRNA from 1 species
GCCACGGUGGUCUAGCGGUUAGAACGCUGGCCUUGUAAUCCUGGGGUCUCGGGUUCGAUUCCCGGCGGUGCGCG